UUGGUCACCCUAAUUUCCAUUCACUGUGUUCUAUGCUUUGUGUGCUCAUCGCCAGUACUCUUAAGUCAUGUUUAAACAGUUUGUUCCACGAUGAUAUCUGAUUUCUUUCUAUCUUUUUAAGCAAUAUUUUGUGGCAUUUAGUGCCCAUAUGAUGCAAUUCUACAAUGGAUCCUGAUUGGUGAUGAUGCCUUUGCCAGGUUGAAGUGCCUCCUCCCAAGAAAAGGCUGG
rnacentral:lncRNA from 1 species